rnacentral:lncRNA from 1 species
UGGACGGCGGCGACGGCAGGAGGGCGCCGUCCUUCCUACUCGAGGAGGCGGAGGACGAGGGGCGCACCUAGCUGGCGGCCCUGUCCUGCUCGAGGAGGCGGGCGCUGCCGAGCUCAAGCACGGCCACGACGACCCACCUCGGCAGGUAGCACCUCCAUCUCCUCCGCCUCCUUCCUCUGCUCACUACUGCUGCUGCUAAGUAGAGGAAUAUGUGAUGCACUGCACCACACGAAGCUGGCUAUAUCCUUCACCGGUAGCUAGUUUGAUCUAACCUGAUGGACAAGCUAACAUACAUAGCAGUAGUUGCUUUUUUAUCAUCCCCCCACCGGCCAGAGCACAACGUACACAUACACACAGAGAGGAAAUCUCUAGUUAGCUUUUUUUAGUUUGUCCUCUAAUUUGUUAUUGGCCAUAGGCUCGUGACAAUCUCUUUUUUUCUUUGUUGAUGCUUACAAUCAAUUCCAUAAUUUACCAGUGUAUAAGUAUAUAGCCCCUAGCCAUGUCUACUUCCAGUCCUACUCGGACACACAUAUUCACAUGUAUUCUGCACGUACGCGUGGAAUCACGUUCAAGGGAACUUUAGCACUACUUUACAAUGUACAUGAAGAAUCGGUUUACUCCAAUUGACAAGUAAAGUACAGUGGCCUAGUUGGAUCCUGUGACAAAUCAUGUGACAAAUUCACAUCCUAGGCUUGAUUCCUGGCCGAGCCAGCUUUUACUUCAAUUGACUGCAUGAUUAAAGUAUAGAUAUAGAUAGUAUAUUUGUACUGGUAUGAUGAACAAGAGCUUCCAGUUAAUUACAUAAUAUUGGUGAUGUAGUUUUACUUGCUGUGUAUGCUUGCUUAGUUGUCCAUUGGGCCGCUCUCUUGUAUCGUUUGAGUGCGCCAAUUAGUUCGGCCAGCCUCUAUGAUUUAUUAUGUAGCUUUUGGAGUGCUUCUAUCUGUCACGCCCCAAAACAUAGCAGUGACAAUUGCCACAUGCUUAUAAAUUCAAUUCAAAUUUAUAAGCAUGUUAAGCCAUCAGGUUAACCAAGGUAGUACACUGGAAUAAUUUUUAUUCAUUAUCAUAGGAACGACUACAAGUGUUCUUGCUAGUACAUGCAUGCAAGUUUCUUUAUUUCAUCCCCUCCCGUAGUACUACUUCUACUGUUCACCAUCAUUUCCAUUGCUCAUCUCUGCAAAAAGAAAAGAUAGCAAGAAUGAGUAUGAUAACAUACUCAGCAAGCACACAUGUAGCAGGGAAAAACUGUGACCGGUACAAUGUUUUUGCCAUCGUGAUGCCUUAGUGUUAGAUUUUUCAUUAGGACUGGAACAUUAGAAGAGGAAAUAUUAUCUCAAAAGAUCACCAAUAUAUCAUCCCUAGCUUCUGCACAAGAUUAGCUAGUCUUGCAUGUGCUAUUCUUAGCAUAACGAGUGUACAGGUCCAACAAGUAAAAGUGAGGCGUACUUAGUCAGAACAAGGCAUGUGGUACAAGAUAGAAAGAGAGAAAAGACAAAUUAAUCUAGAGGAGUUCUUGGGAGAUAGGAUGCAUGCAUCUUUCACAACUAGCAUGCAGAACCAAACCACCAUGCGUACUGUACAAGGACACACUAGCUGAGGUGAAAGAAUUAACAACAAGAAUAGUGCUACAGACUAGCCAUAUAGAGAAGUACUAGCAACAGCGGCAUGGCAUGAGUAAAGAAAGAGAAGGAACAGGACAUCUAGAGAAGCUAGAUGGAACGCAUGCUUGCCUUCUCCCGAUUCUCUUGACACAGCAGCAAGAUUUCUAACGCCUGCUCUGCACCAGCAGCUACGGCUCUACUACUACUACCUCUAAUGAAGAGAGACAAUGGUUGUGGUGUGAGGUCCAGCUACCCGGCCCUUGGCCCUUUAUAUAGGCGUGCAGGAAUAGACACUAAGUAAAAUUGCUCUAAUUGACAUGUAUGUCUGACAACAGGAAUAGAUAAGCUUGCUGGCCUGUACCUGAGUCAGCGGCAUAAUCAUUUCCAUUUACUAAACAUUUUAUUUUCAGUUGCCUCCUCGACCCUUCCUACAGCCAGCUACUUGUUGAGCAAAAUAUCUGGUCUAACUCUUCUCACAAAUUAAGGGAAAGAAAAAAAAGUCUGCCUAGACCAGUACGUGUACAUGCAUUUGGGUUCUAAGCAACUACUUGAUUUUUUUUCUUAAUUUGGGUGCUAGGUACUGAUAGAGUUGGUGUAUCCAUAGAUAGCAUACACUUGCGCAUUUUUCUGAGUUCUUCUGUUGCGAAUGAGAACAACCAUCAUGGACCUCCUCUGUUUUCAAGCAACUUGCUUCUCCAUGUAUGAUUUAUGCAGCAUAUACAUCUUGCUCCUCUUUUAUCAGUAGCAAUGGAACUUGAUGAAAUUUAAGUGUCGUGUUGUUCUAGAGAUGCAGGGAGGGAGGGACUUCCAUGGAUUGGACUGCAAGGAUUGGAUGCAAACCAAUGCACAUGAGGAGGAGAGAUGCAAGCCAGGUCAUGACCUAAAGGUCCCUGCCGUGAACCCCUUCCCCUUCCCGUGUAUAAUCAUGCUCAACAAAUACUUGAUAUGAUUUUGGUUAAUCUUCAAUUCAGCCCAGCUAGCUGUUGUAGUACUUGCUUGUCUCCUUCCAAAUGUUGCCCUAGUCCGUUGAGUUUCUUAUUGCUCCAGGUAGUACUGUUAUUUUUCUGCUCUGCGAUUUGGUUUGCAUGGUUCUAGGCUCCCAGUCUACCGCUUUUGUUGCUGUGAUUUCGAGCUCUGUUUUCUUUAUUAUGACAAGUUGCAAAAUUAGUAGUGGGAAGUAAACUUUUGUUAACUUGUUGGCUGAACGAAUGGAACUACUGUUAUACUUGAUUUGUUGCUCAACUAGUGCUGCAAUGAUGGAACCGAUGAUUGUGCAUGAUGCAUCCAUCCAUUCUAUCGGAGAGGCUGUGUUUUUUUCUUCUUGUGCUAAGAUUGCCAGCAUCACAUAUCCUAUGCUUUUGUUUCUCCAGUAGAGCCUUGUGAGAUUUAUGUGUCUGCCACCGUCCUCGAAUGGUUGUUCAAUAAUAAUGGUCCUAGCUAAUUACUAGUAUGCGCUGCUGCUAAAACAACUUGCCCCUCGUUUGAUUUCAAGGAUGUUGUUGCUGCUAAAGUAGCAACAACAACGACAACAACCAUGCUUUGGUUCCCCAAAAUUCAGAUUGCACUUGCAUCUCUACAUACACACACAUAUGAACAUGCACCUCGGUUUGGUUCAGUUUGCAUAUUUACAUUUGCUUUAACUUUGACUGAAACUAUCUUGGUGACACUUGCAUCAAUGGUGUGUUCUGCCCUUGUAGAUGUCCUUGGAGAAGAUGGCCAUUGGAGUGUAGGGGAGAAACAACCUUGUCCUGCUCGAGGAGGAGGAGGACCACCCGAGCUCGACGACGACAUGGCAACAGGUAGCACUCGCCUCUCUCCCAAGGUGAAGGUCUGGUCCGCCUGUUUAGAUGGUCUGCUCUCGUCUUAUGCAUGUGAGGGGAGAAGGAAGCCAUUGGACUGAAUUAUAUUUGCAUGUGAGGGGGGUGAUCCUUUUGGUAGAUGCAGAGUAUAGAUUCACAAAAUUCACCACAUGAGCGUACUACCUAUAUCCAAAUUCUGGAUACCACUUGCAUCUUUUGUAUGUACACAUGAAAAAGCACGACGGUUUGCUUCAGUUUGUAUGUAUCCAAUUGUUUUUUACUUUUGACUGAAACUAUCUAUCUUGGUGGCACUUGCAUCUCCUGUACAUACAUACAUAUGAAUCAGGACCACACUUUUCUUCAAUUUGUAUGUGUCAAUUUUUUUUGGUUGAACUUUGAGUGAAACCAACUGGCUGGCACCUCAAUCUGUACAUACACAUGAAUCAGCACCACCCUUGGUUCAGUUUUGUAUGUGUCCAUUUGUUUUUACUUUGACUAAAGCGAACUUGAUGACACUUGCAUCUUCUGUAUAUACAUAUAUACAUAUGAAUCAGCACCACUCUUUUUCUCUUUGAAGCUUGCCUUGAACAAGAACUGAUGCUUGAUAGAUACAACCGAAACUGGAGCAUCUCUGUAUUGUAUGUAUUAGUAGUAUUGUUCGGUUCAAGCACCAACAUGACAAGUUAUCUGCCUUUUUAGUUCUAGGUGAUUUUCUUUUGGUAAAUUUAAUGUAUAGAUUACAUAUUCAUCCUCAUAUGUAGGAUCUUCUGUUUGUUGUACUGACUGUAUGCCACCUCCAUCGUUGCAGCCUUGUCUCCCCCACCACCGCCCCUCAGCCUCCUAUAAUGUUGUUGUGGAUUCUUAGAAUGGAAAUGUUAUGUACAUAAAAAAUACACUAUGGUCUGUGUUUGCAAAUCCAUGGUUGUUGAAUCAUGUUUGUAUAAGCAUUUGUAAAUAGCUAGCCUUGUUGGCUAAUCUUUUUUUUGGUUCUGGUCAGCAACUAUGCCGACGGCAAUGCUGUAGGCAUAGAUGGCU